CUGCGAUCGAGCAGCCAUUUGCCAGCGACGGCACAUUCUUCUACCGUGGUUGAUGUUUCUCACUGCUUUGAACCCCCAAGACUCCACGGACUGCGGCUGCGGUCGUUUCAUUGCCAACUGUGAGGAUGAAGCAGCUCCAUGGCCGGAGAUCGGGUGCCUCCCAUCAGUUUCCCUUUUCAGCAAUAGAGGCCUUGGAGGCCUUUCUACCUGCAUUGCAUCCUGUGGCUGGACCACUCCAACGAUCUCGGCGGAAUCGUUACACAGG
rnacentral:lncRNA from 1 species